CAUAUCAAUAAGCGGAGGAAAAGAAACCAACAGGGAUUGCCUCAGUAACGGCGAGUGAAGCGGCAAAAGCUCAAAUUUGAAACCUUCGGGAUUGUAAUUUGAAGAUUUGGCAUUGGAAAAAGCUACCCAAGUUGCUUGGAAUAAUACGUCAUAAAGGGUGACAACCCCGUCUGGCUAACCGUUUUCCAUUGUAUUGCCUUAUCAAAGAAUCCAGUUGUUUGGGAAUGCAGCUCAAAGUGGGUGGUAAACUCCAUCUAAAGCUAAAUACUGGUGAAAAACCGAUAGCGAACAAGUACUGU
rnacentral:rRNA from 1 species